GAUGAAGAACGUAGCGAAAUGCGAUAAGUAGUGUGAAUUGCAGAAUUCAGUGAAUCAUAGAAUCUUUGAACGCACAUUGCGCCCUUUGGUAUUCCUUAGUGCAUGCCUGUUCGAGCGUCAUUUAAACCUUCAAGCUCAGCUUGGUGUUGGGUGACUGUCCGCUUCACCGCGGACUCGCCUCAAAAUUAUUGGCGGCCGGUACAUUGGCUCUCGAGCGCAGCAGAAACGCGUAACUCGAGGUCCUCGUGCUGGCUCCCAGAAGCUAUCUUCACAAUUUUGACCUCGGAUCAGGUAGGGAUACCCGCUGAACUUAAGCAUAUCAAUAAGCGGAGGA
rnacentral:misc_RNA from 1 species